GUAUAUAUUUUUUUGUCUCCUCAGUUACAGUUUAUUAUUCGAAAUAUCAUUUUACUUCAAGUGUCUAAAAAUAUAUUGGAUGGCUAGAUUAAAAUAGGACUGGUGAUAUUGUGCAAGACUAUGAACUUUUAUUAUGCUUGGAACAAAUGUAACUGACAGGUUCAGACAAGGCACUCAACAAAGAUUUACAAUAAGCAGUUUUUUCCAUCGUACUGGUUUUACUAUUUUAUUCUGUUAUCAGUGUCUUAGCCAGAUCUAUAGAAAUAAUGAAUUAUUUUAAAUUCUUUCUUUUAAGAUUUAUUAUUCUUAUUAUUUGGAUUUCAUCACUAUUAAAAAUUAAUUUAGUAUAGUAAACACGCAAAAUAUGCAUUUUGGUACUAAUGCCCGACUAUUGUUCUUGUGUGUAAUUUCAUUACUGAUGUUUCAAGCUAUGGAUAUGGUAGCUUGCCAAAGACCAAGAGAAGGAAAUGGAUUCGAGGAGCAGUUGGAGAUUAAGGAAUAUUGGGAUAAACUUCUCAAAAAAUAAUGAGACGUUUACCGCGGAAUUUCAACAUAUAGGAAAUCCUACUAUAUUCAAUGCUAUUCAUAUUAUAUAAAUUAGGCUUAUAUAUGUCUACAUUAUAUCUUAUAAAAAUAAAGCUUAAAAAUAAAACUGAAUUUCAAUAAAUGAAC